UGACAUGUAAUAAUGUACUGUCACAGAGCUGCGAAAAAUCAACAUACUGUCACAGAGCUGCGAAACAUCAACAUACUGUCACAGAGCUGCGAAACAUCAACCUACUGUCACAGUGGCGAGAAAAAAGUGACAAAAAGGCGACAAACAACGAAAAAGGAAACAAAAAAGUGACUAAAGGCGACAAAAAAGUGUUAAAGGUGUGACCGUUGUCUCCAGGUAAAGAGGUAAAGGUGUGACUGUUGUCUCCAGGUAAAGAGGUAAAGGUGUGACUGUUGUCUCCAGGUAAAGAGGUAAAGGUGUGACUGUUGUCUCCAGGUAAAGAGGUAAAGGUGUGACUGUUGUCUCCAGGUAAAGAGGUAAAGGUGUGACUGUUGUCUCCAGGUAAAGAGGUAAAGGUGUGACUGUUGUCUCCAGGUAAAGAGGUAAAGGUGUAACUGUUGUCUCCAGAUAAAGAGGUAAAGGUGUAACUGUUGUCUCCAGGUAAAGAGGUAAAGGUGUGACUGUUGUCUCCAGAUAAAGAGGUAAAGGUGUAACUGUUGUCUCCAGGUAAAGAGGUAAAGGUGUGACUGUUGUCUCCAGGUAAAGAGGUAAAGGUGUAACUGUUGUCUCCAGGUAAAGAGGUAAAGGUGUGACUGUUGUCUCCAGAUAAAGAGGUAAAGGUGUAACUGUUGUCUCCAGGUAAAGAGGUAAAGGUGUAACUGUUGUCUCCAGGUAAAGAGGUAAAGGUGUAACUGUUGUCUCCAGGUAAAGAGGUAAAGGUGUGACUCUUGUCUCCAGAUAAAGAGGUAAAGGUGUGACUGUUGUCUCCAGAUAAAGAGGUAAAGGUGUGACUGUUGUCUCCAGAUAAAGAGGUAAAGGUGUGACUAAAGGUGUGACUGUUGUCUCCAGGUAAAGAGGUAAAGGUGUGACUAAAGGUGUGACUGUUGUCUCCAGGUAAAGAGGUAAAGGUGUGACUGUUUUCUCCAGGUAAAGAGGUAAAGGUGUGACUAAAGGUGUGACUGUUGUCUCCAGGUAAAGAGGUAAAGGUGUGACUAAAGGUGUGACUGUUGUCUCCAGAUAAAGAGGUAAAGGUGUGACUGUUGUCUCCAGGUAAAGAGGUAAAGGUGUGACUGUUGUCUCCAGAUAAAGAGGUAAAGGUGUGACUGUUGUCUCCAGAUAAAGAGGUAAAGGUGUGACUGUUGUCUCCAGGUAAAGAGGUAAAGGUGUGACUGUUGUCUCCAGGUAAAGAGGUAAAGGUGUGACUGUUGUCUCCAGGUAAAGAGGUAAAGGUGUGACUGUUGUCUCCAGGUAAAGAGGUAAAGGUGUGACUGUUGUCUCCAGGUAAAGAGGUAAAGGUGUGACUAAAGGUGUGACUGUUGUCUCCAGGUAAAGAGGUAAAGGUGUGACUGUUGUCUCCAGGUAAAGAGGUAAAGGUGUGACUAAAGGUGUGACUGUUGUCUCCAGGUAAAGAGGUAAAGGUGUGACUAAAGGUGUGACUGUUGUCUCCAGGUAAAGAGGUAAAGGUGUGACUAAAGGUGUGACUGUUGUCUCCAGGUAAAGAGGUAAAGGUGUGACUGUUGUCUCCAGAUAAAGAGGUAAAGGUGUGACUGUUGUCUCCAGGUAAAGAGGUAAAGGUGUGACUGUUGUCUCCAGGUAAAGAGGUAAAGGUGUGACUGUUGUCUCCAGGUAAAGAGGUAAAGGUGUGACUAAAGGUGUGACUGUU